rnacentral:rRNA from 1 species
GACGAACGCUGGCGGCGUGCCUAAUACAUGCAAGUUGAGCGCUGAAGCUUGGUACUUGUUCCUAUUGGGUGAGCAGCGAACGGGUGAGUAACGCGUGGGGAAUCUGCCUUUGAGCGUGGGACAACUUCUGGAAACGGAUGCUAAUACCGCAUAAUAUCUUUAAACACAUGUUUUAAUUUUGAAAGAUGCAAUUGCUUCACUCAAUGAUGAUCUCGCGUUGUAUUAGCUUGUUGGUGAAGUAAAGGCUCACCAAGGGGAGGAUACCGAGACGACCGGAGAGGGUGAUCAGCCACACUGGGAAUGAGACACGGCCCAAACGCCCACAGGAGGGAGAAGAAGGGAAACUUCGGCAAAGGAGGAAAGACCGAGAGAGCAAAGCGGCGUGAGUGAGGAAGGUUUUCGGAUAGGAAAAAACUGUUGGUAGAGAAGAAAGUAGGUGAGAGUGGAAAGAUCAUCGAGUGAAGGUAACUAACCAAAAAGGGACGGCUAACUACGUG